GGGAAAUCUGAGCUUGGUACCAAUGCUUUUUGUAGGCCCUUUCUUUCACUUUCAAGCAUUUUAGUUAAGCAGGGUUUUCCUUGCUGUUUGAGAUACAGGAGGAGUAUGGUGUGAACAGUGGGGGUCUUUCCAGCCUUUCUCUUGCAGCAUUCUUUUUCCUCGGUUGAAGUGGGUGAAGAGGAGCUGGAGGAAGACAGAAAUGCGGUACAUGAUGAACUAAAUCCUUAACCAUCAGCUGGACAUCAAGAGACAAUGAACGUCCUGAAAAAUGGAAUGU
rnacentral:lncRNA from 1 species